GAAGGGGGCGAGCGUUGUUCGGAUUUACUGGGCGUAAAGGGCGCGCAGGCGGCCGGCUUUGUCAGGCGUGAAAGCCCCGGGCUUAACCUGGGAAUGGCGCUUGGGACGGGUUGGCUUGAGAUCGGGAGAGGAGCGUGGAAUUCCCAGUGUAGAGGUGAAAUUCGUAGAUAUUGGGAAGAACACCGGUGGCGAAGGCGGCGCUCUGGACCGAGACUGACGCUGAGGCGCGAAAGCGUGGGGAGCAAACAGGAUUAGAUACCCUGGUAGUCCACGCUGUAAACGAUGUGUGCUAGACGUUGGGGAGCCUAGCUCUUCGGUGUCGCAGCUAACGCGGUAAGCACACCGCCUGGGGAGUACGGCCGCAAGGUUA
rnacentral:rRNA from 1 species